CCUACGGGAGGCAGCAGUGAGGAAUAUUGGUCAAUGGACGGAAGUCUGAACCAGCCAUGCCGCGUGCAGGAAGACGGCCCUAUGAGUUGUAAACUGCUUUUGUACAAGGGUAAACAUGAAAAUGUGUAUUCAGCUGAAAGUACUGUACGAAUAAGGAUCGGCUAACUCCGUGCCAGCAGCCGCGGUACUACGGAGGAUCCAAGCGUUAUCCGGAUUUAUUGGGUUUAAAGUGUGCGUAGGCGGGUUGUUAAGUUAGAGGUGAAAUGACCGAGCUUAACUCGGGAACUGCCUCUAAUACUGUUGAUCUAGAGAGUAGUUGCGGUAGGCGGAAUGUAUGGUGUAGCGGUGAAAUGCUUAGAGAUCAUACAGAACACCGAUGGCGAAGGCAGCUUAC
rnacentral:rRNA from 1 species